CAGAGCUGUGUCUGUUCCAGCGGCCAGCAGUUGAUUUCAGUGAAAUGGAAGAUGACUCGUUUGUGUCCAGUCAGUGCAGGGCACUGCAGGGUUUUAAGAGCGUUGUCUUAGUUGCAGAGCAGUGCCGGAUCCAAAGACCGUACAGCUGCAUCGCUGCAGUACUGCAUAAAAGCUAAUUAGCCCAGCCAACAAGGAGAAGAUGCCCGAUCAGUAACGGCUCGAUCAGUAGCAGCUGUUGUUGAGAAUAAGGCUUGUGCUAGAGAAGCUGAUGUGUUAAAGAAGUGCUGUCAGCACCUGAGGCAGGCUGUGAUGGCUUGUCUUCAGCAGUAGACUCCUGUAUUUGCCCUGCAGGAGAUGAUGGCAGCUUGUCGCAAAAUUUUUGUAGCAGAACAUCUUUCUGAUGCUCUGUGCUUGCCCCAGGAUGAAAGAUGCCCUCAAUGUUGCCCUUAACGUGGAGAUCUGGUUGCGAUGCCAGCAUGCACAGCCUUGAAUACAUCAGUGCUCACUGUAGGAUCCUUUGGGAGCUGUAGAGACACAAGGUCAGCUUCAGCCCUCACGUAAACUGGUGUGAUGCCCGCUUGACCCAAAGCUCUGUCAGUGUAAGACAGAGCUGUCAGCUUUCACCUCUCUUGAUGUCCUUGAGGAAAGGAUGGAUUUGAAAGAUGUCACAUCACUAUCAGCUUAUGCUAAUGCCAUAGCAAAAACUUUUCUUAGGGUUGAGUUGCCAUUAUCAAUGGCAAGAUUUUAAUUAUCAGCGAAUCUUCAGUAUAUGUUUACUCUACAGCAAGACACAUGCCCAUGCAGGUGUCAGCAUAAAUAAAACAAGAAUGUACUGCGAAUAUUAGGGUGUUUGCUUUAUCUGCUGUAAGACGAGAGCAUUUACACAGGAGCAAGGUAGUUCUUAUUUCUUUGCUAAAGAAAUAAAAGGUGCGGAGGAUCCUUCAGUGAGAGGCAACCAUCAAAAGAAAGCUUGCAAAACCCUUUUUCCUGCAAACCCCGCGAGAGAUACUGCACGGAGACAACAGGAGCAAAUGUCAAGACAAAACCAGACAAAUGAAAAUACGGAGCAAAUGAUUCAUCAUAGUUUGAGCUUCCUUUUGUUAUUCAAGUCAUCAGCAGAUUUAUCUGCAGCAAAGCCCAGUGAAGCCAAUAUUGCUAGUGAAAAUGUUCCUUCAUUUUUAUUUUGCUUCUCUUUUCUCAGUCUCUUUCACCUGCAGACAGAAAUGUAAGUAAGCAAGCAUACUCAGAAUAUAAAGCUGUGAUUAAAACAGUACAACGUAUAACUUUUUAAUGUUUCUUUUUUCCAUUAAAGCAACUUUCUUAAAG
ensembl:lncRNA